CUCACAUAUACAUGUGAUCAAAGAAUUAGUCUUAAUUUUCAAAGAUGAAAAUUCUCAUUCAUUAUACAAUACAACUUGUAUGAUUCCAAGUUUCUGUCUAAUUGAAACUUGGGUGAUGAAAAACUUUCUUCAUUUGGUAAAUUCAGACAAUACCACAAAUGAAAGAAUCAAAUCCACUUUCCAAUAUUGCUAUUAUUGGAAACAUAUAAGCAACAAUUUUCCACAGAUGCCAUUGUAAGGAUAUUUUUAAAAUAAAUUAAAUUAAAACCCUUUUUAUCUUUUAUUUUAAAACUUUGCGGAAAAGCUUAUCCUUACAAUCCACAUGAAAACCUUGUUGUUAUCUAUUCAUAAGCAAUAUAUUAUAACUCUUAAGCAACAGCUCAAAAUUUUGAUUGCCGAACCAUGCGAUCGAAACCCACCUUCGCAAUCAGAAUCAACAUAUACUUACUUUAAGCUUCCUAUCUUUUCUUUGAUUCUUAAAACAUCAGCAUGUGACCCAUUCACAUUAUGUAAUAAGAAUCUCCAAAUAGGAUUGUUAACUAUUUUAUAGUUUUUAACUUUUCUGUUCUUGCUAUUGGAAGAUUAAUAGAAAAUCACCAUAGGUCAAAAUUUAGAUCCGUACACACUGAGGCUUUAGAAAAUGUGUCUAUUUUAUUCAUAAUUUUUAACAUAUUUUUGGUGACCUUUAACUUGUGUAAAAAUGUCCAACUUCACAGACUGGUCCGAAGUGGUUUCUGAACUGAUAGAUUGUUUUGUAAAAAUCACCAUAAAUUCUAGAAAACCCGUAUGGAGAUGUGCAAGUAGUCAUUUUAAAGGUAUUAACCUGAUCUACUUGCAUAUUAAACAAUUUCGAAAGAUAAAAAGCUUAAGAAGGUCAAAACAGUCCGUGAAUAGGACUCCACUUUCCUGUUGAAAGCUGAUGAUUGAGUUUAAGUUAAAUUAUGGUGAUUUAACUUGUAUUCCCCCCUAAAACUUGAAGAAAACAUGAAAAUACAGGGGGAUGAAUCACAUUUACUGAUUUCUUGGGAUCGAUGAUGAAGAGAAGAGAUUUCCUAGUCAAGAACACUUGGGAGAUGCUUGAAGAUUCGAAGAUCUAAAUGCAAACAUGGUGAUAUUUGUUAAGAGAGAUCCAUAAUUCGAGAGAAAAUGGGAAGGAUGUUCAAAUGUAGGAUGGGAAUACUUACCAAAAGUGAGUGAAAAGCUUAAUAUCAGCCUUAGAGUCUCGAGUUUUAGAGAUAGAAAGUGAGAGAGGUGUGUUUGUUCUUCUUGAGAAAGAGUGAAUAAAGUGGGAGGAGAGAUAAGGAUUUUCAACUUUUGAUCAAGAACACUUGCUAGAGAAAGUGUGUGCAAGGACAAAUAAUUGACUAGGUAGGGAUGAAUAGUGACUGAGGGUGGUGCUAGAGUGGGUAUGGGAGGUAGCUUGUACGUUUGCUUUAUGGAAAAAUCAACACUCCACCUCAAUAUCUUACCUAAUAGAUUUUAUUCUUGGACAAGGAUUUCCUCAAAAUAUGAUUAAAUUAUGAAUAUUUAGGGUCUUAUAUGCCAAAAUAUGAGUUUGGGUGAGAAUCCCGCGUUAAAAUCAUGAAAAACGAUCUUAAAACGCGAAAAGGAUCGAGAACCGGGAAAAGAAGGAGAACUUCCAAAGUCUGAGAGGAGGGUUCGGUCCUUGCUGUCUAGAACCGAAGGUAGGUUCGGGUGUGCUGAGAACGGAAAGGAGGCGCAGCAUCGCAUGCGAGAAGGGAAGGGAAGUGAAGGCGGAGGUCAGGUGAAGCUUCGGUCCGAGUGGCAUGAUCCGAACCGAAAAGAGUCUUCGGUCCUAUAAGUAGGUUCUGGUUUUGGCAGGGUUUUGGUCCGGGAGGCUUCGGUCCUUAGAGGAUUCGCCUCUAAGAGGUUCGGUUCUAAGAGGUUCGGCCCUAAUUGUCUGUUUUUCAAAUAAACUUCUCGUUUCGAGUGGUUUUUGGCUCCGAUAAGGGUCGGGAUGCCCCAAAUGAUUAUAUAAAGUUUUUAGAGAGAUUUGGGAGAGAUUUGUGAGAGAGAUUGAUAAAGGGAGAUUGAGAGAGACUUCGUUUGUGACUUUUUUGGAUGUUUAGCUUCGAAAUGCAAGGUUUGUAAAUCCCGUUUUGCCUUGUUGUGGAUGUUAUACGCCCUCGAGGGGUACGGAAUAAUGUUUUACCGAGUAUUUUCAUCACUUACCCUAAAUAGGUUUAAAAAUUCUGAACAUAUGAACUCUCCAAGUGAUAACUUCUUAUUAAAAUAGCGAGUUGUAUAGUAGAAGAUAUAAAGUAAACCCCAAUACACAAGGGUAAGAUGAGUUGACCGGUUUUGACUAGUUGACUUUAUUUGACUUCGACUUGACCAAAAAUUGACGGUUGUCACAACUUGUGCAAGGGGUGAGGGUUUGUUAGAUCUCAUACAUACUGAUGUGUGUGGAAACUUCAAAACCGCCACAAGGGAUGCUAACCGCUUUUANAUAUAUAUAUAUAUAUAUAUAUAUAUUAAGGAACUAGUAUGCUCAAGAAUGAUAUUAAAAUCAUAUUGCUACUUAACAUAUGAUACUAAUGGGUCAGACUAACAACUACUUGAUAUAAUUGAUUAUUUAUUAGUAAUUGAUUUUAAAAAAUAUUCAAUACAACUCUUAUACUAAAUUGGAAAUUAUUUAUUACAUGCAAAUAUUAAUUGUCAUUAGCAAAUAACAUAAAGUAUAUCAUAUGGUAUGAUUUAUAAGUCGUGUGCAUUAUUUUGGACUAUGUAAGCCUUUUGUUUUUAGCAAAAGACGAAGUUUAUAUCUUAUAAACUUUGAAUUUAUAAAAUAUAAACUUCUGCUUCUUCUUUUUCUCCAUGAUGGUCGAAAAUUAAGAGUGACAUAAAGAGCGAUGGCUUUUUUCUUAGUUUAUUCAAAUGAAAUAAAGCAUGAUGGAUGCAUGGGGAUAAGCUUGUCUAAAGUGCUUAUUAGAUAACCUUUAGAUUAAGUUCAUGCUUUAAAUAGCUAGUGUCUUGCACUCUUGGGGUGCUUCUUCCCUUCUAAUUGCUGAGAGCUCUCUAGGAGACUCUCCAUUUUUUCAUCGCUUUGAGUUAUUAAAGAUUACAUGCAUAUCUUUUGCUCUCUUGGAUAAAAUGCUUGGGUAUUUUAUCAUCAAGCUUAACAGUUAAGAGUUAUGGACUAGAAUCUACAUCAAGUUGAGUCCUUGUUGGUGUCUUAAAGGUUUCAUCUUCUGCAUUAACUUCCAAGCCUCCCAAAAGGAACCAAAGAACAACAAAGGUUGUUAUUUCUUCAUCAUUUCUAUGGUUGGUAUUUUAUCUUACUAUAACCUGCAAGAAGAUCCUUGGUAGGUAUAAAAUGUUAUGAUAUGUUCAAACUUUUAAGUCUUCCCUUUGCCAUAUUAUCUAGUUUACGAAACUAUUUAUGAACUAAAACCCAACAUAUGGUAUCAAGAUCCACCUUGCAAGUUUGGUUAGAUUUUUUUAUUUUUGAAAAUCUUAGUUUUUGUUUGUAUUAUGUAUGCAACCUAACUAUACCUAUUAUACUUUACCAUACUUGUUUGUGGUGUAUAAUAGACUUAACUAUACUUAUUAUAAUUUAUUAUAAUUAUUUGUAGUGGUAUUACUCCUUUGUAUAUGAUUCAUACCUUUAAACUAAGGUAAAUAAUAUGUACUAUCAGCAACAUGUAUUAAAAUAAUGCUACACACCUUGCUCAACAAGUUACAAGGUGUAAAUAUGAUUGUUAACUAUUUUAUAGUUUUUAACUUUUUUGUUCUUGCUAUUGGAAAAUUAAUAGAAAAUCACCAUAGGUCAAAAUUUAGAUCCGUACACUCCGAGGCUUUAGAAAAUGUGUCUAUUUUAUUCAUAAUUUUUAUCAUGAUUUUUGGUGACCUUUAACUUGUGUAAAAAUGUCCAACUUCACAGACUGGUCCGAAGUGGUUUCUGAACUGAUAGAUUGUUUUGUAAAAAUCACCAUAAAUUCUAGAAAACCCGUAUGGAGAUGUGCAAGUAGUCAUUUUAAAGGUAUUAACCUGAUCUACUUGCAUAUUAAACAGUUUCGAAAGAUAAAAAAUUUAAGAAGGUCAAAACAGUCCGUAAAUAGGACUCCACUUUCCUGUUGAAAGCUGAUGAUUGAGUUUAAGUUAAAUUAU
rnacentral:lncRNA from 1 species